ACUGCUAUCGAGAUGGGACUAAGGUAUGCUAGUCGAACGACCAGAACUAUGUCUGGAAGUGGCACACUGCUCAGUAACACGUAGCUAACCUACCCUUAGGACGUGGAUACCCCCGAGAAAUUGGGGUUAAUCCGCGAUAGGUGUAAUGUCCUGGAAUGGUAUUACGCCUAAAGGUGUAUCAUACAUGUUUGAUAUACGCCUAAGGAUGGGGCUGCGGCCGAUCAGGCUGUUGGUGAGGUAAUGGCUCACCAAACCUUUGACCGGUACGGGCCAUGAGAGUGGUAGCCCGGAGAUGGACACUGAGACAAGGGUCCAGGCCCUAAGGGGCGCAGCAACCGCGAAACCUCCACAAUGCACUCACGUGCGAUGGGGCUAUCUCGAGUGCCACCUGAUGAAGGUGGCUUUUCCUAGGUCUUCAAAGCCUUGGGAAUAAGAGGGGGGCAAGACUGGUGUCAGCCGCCGCGGUAACACCAGCCCCUCGAGUGGUGGGGAUGAUUAUUUGGCCUAAAGCGUCCGUAGCCGGCCGAGCAAGUCUUCCGUUAAAUCCAGCGUCUCAAGCGUUGGACUGCGGGAGAUACUACACGGCUAGAGAGUGGGAGAGGUCAGCGGUAUUCUGGGGGUAGGGGCGAAAUCCUUUGAUCCCCGGAGGACCACCAGUGGCGAAGGCUGCUGACUAGAAUACGUCUGACGGUCAGGGACGAAAGCUGGGGUAGCGAACCGGAUUAGAUACCCGGGUAGUCCCAGCCGUAAACGAUGCAUGCUAGGUGUUGGGUUGGCCACGAGCCACCCCAGUGCCGCAGGGAAGCCGUUAAGCAUGCCGCCUGGGAAGUACGAUCGCAAGAUUGAAACUUAAAGGAAUUGGCGGGGGAGCACCACCAGGCGUGAAGCCUGCGGUUUAAUUGGAUUCAACGCCGGA
rnacentral:rRNA from 1 species